rnacentral:rRNA from 1 species
UGAGUACGAGCUGCUACGGCAGCGAAGUGGGUGACGUCAAGCUUCCAAGAAAAGCCCUAUACCCGUUAAGGCAUGAUGGCCUGUACCCGAAACCGACACAGGUGGGGUGGUAGAGAAUACCGAGGGGCGCGAGGUAACUCUCUCUAAGGAACUCGGCAAAAUGGCCCCGUAACUUCGGGAGAAGGGGUGCCACCGCAAGGUGGUCGCAGUGAAGAGGCCCAGGCGACUGUUUACCAAAAACACAGGUCUCCGCUAAGUCGCAAGACGAUGUAUGGGGGCUGACGCCUGCCCAGUGCCGGAAGGUUAAGGAAGCUGGUCAGCGCAAGCGAAGCUGGCGACUGAAGCCCCGGUGAACGGCGGCCGUAACUAUAACGGUCCUAAGGUAGCGAAAUUCCUUGUCGGGUAAGUUCCGACCCGCACGAAAGGCGUAACGAUCUGGGCGCUGUCUCGGAGAGAGGCUCGGCGAAAUAGAAUUGUCUGUGAAGAUGCGGACUACGUGCACCCGGACAGAAAGACCCUAUGAAGCUUUACUGUAGCUUGGUAUUGUGCCCGGGCCCUGAAUGCGCAGGAUAGGUGGGAGGCUUUGAUCCAUUGCUUGUGGGUGAUGGUGAGCCAACGGUGAGAUACCACUCUUUCAGAGCUAGGGUUCUAACGGUCACCCGUGAUCCGGGGACCGGACAGUAUCAGGUGGGCAGUUUGACUGGGGCAGUCGCCUCCUAAAAGGUAACGGAGGCGCGCAAAGGUUCCCUCAGGCUGGUUGGAAAUCAGCCGACGAGUGUAAAGGCAGAAGGGAGCUUGACUGUGAGACCUACAAGUCGAACAGGGACGAAAGUCGGCCUUAGUGAUCCGACGGUUCUGAGUGGAAGGGCCGUCGCUCAACGGAUAAAAGUUACUCUAGGAUAACAGGCUGAUCUCCCCCAAGAGUUCACAUCGACGGGGAGGUUUGGCACCUCGAUGUCGGCUCAUCGCAACCUGGGGCUGAAGUCGGUCCCAAGGGUUGGGCUGUUCGCCCAUUAAAGCGGUACGCGAGCUGGGUUCAGAACGUCGUGAGACAGUUCGGUCCAUAUCCGGUGCAUGCGCAGGAAUAUUGAGAGGAUUUCUCCCUAGUACGAGAGGACCGGGAGGAACGCACCUCUGGUGUGCCAGUUAUCGUGCCAACGGUAAACGCUGGGUAGCCAUGUGCGGAGAGGAUAACCGCUGAAAGCAUCUAAGUGGGAAGCCCACCUCAAGAUGAGUAUUCCCAUGGCGUUAGCCAGUAAGGUCACGGGCAGAACACCCGUUGAUAGGCUCUACGUGGAAGCCGGGUAACCGGUGAAGCGGAGGAGUACUAAUAGACCGAGGGCUUGACC